UCCCUGGCAGCCUUUUCCUGAACUGUCCUAAGGGCUAUGGCUGAAGUGUAAGUGAGUGGCCCUGGAGGUGGGUGCCUCUCCCCGGCGCAGUUUUUCCUUCCAUCACAAGCAUGGCUGAAGCUGGGUGGUGGUGCAUACAGAUUCCAGCCAGCAAGGAGGGGAAAGAGAGUUCAGAGGACUCACCUCCACUGUCCCCGACCCAGGCCUGUAGCAUCUAUAUUGGCUCCUCUCAGGUUCCACAGCCAAAAGCCUAGUCCCAAGGGAGUGCUACAGAGAAGAAAAAAUCAUCACAAAACAGGGCAUUAAAACUCUGGGGACACGAAUCUGAAACCACCACAUCACCCCUCCUUAAUUUCAG
rnacentral:lncRNA from 10 species